GACGAACGCUGGCGGCGUGCUUAACACAUGCAAGUCGAACGGUAAGGCCCUUCGGGGUACACGAGUGGCGAACGGGUGAGUAACACGUGGGUGAUCUGCCCUGCACUUCGGGAUAAGCCUGGGAAACUGGGUCUAAUACCGGAUAGGACCCUGGGAUGCAUGUCCUGGGGUGGAAAGCUUUUGCGGCGUGGGAUGGGCCCGCGGCCUAUCAGCUUGUUGGUGGGGUGAUGGCCUACCAAGGCGACGACGGGUAGCCCGCCGGAGAGGGUGACCGGCCACACUGGGACUGAGAUACGGCCCAGAAUCCUACGGGGGGCAGCAGUGGGGAAUAUUGCACAAUGGGCGCAAGACUGAUGCAGCGACGCCGCGUGAGGGAUCACGGCCUUCGGGUUGUAAACCUCUUUCAGCACCGACGAAGCGCAAGUGACGGUAGGUGCAGAAGAAGGACCGGCCAACUACGUGCCAGCAGCCGCAGUAA
rnacentral:rRNA from 1 species